rnacentral:rRNA from 1 species
AACGAAGAGGAGCUUGCUCCUUUGGCGUCGAGCGGCGGACGGGUGAGUAAUGCUUGGGAAUGUGCCUUAUGGUGGGGGACAACAGUUGGAAACGACUGCUAAUACCGCAUAAUGUCUUCGGACCAAAGUGGGGGACCUUCGGGCCUCACGCCAUAAGAUCAGCCCAAGUGGGAUUAGCUAGUUGGUAAGGUAAUGGCUUACCAAGGCGACGAUCCCUAGCUGGUUUGAGAGGAUGAUCAGCCACACUGGGACUGAGACACGGCCCAGACUCCUACGGGAGGCAGCAGUGGGGAAUAUUGCACAAUGGGCGCAAGCCUGAUGCAGCCAUGCCGCGUGUGUGAAGAAGGCCUUCGGGUUGUAAAGCACUUUCAGUAAGGAGGAAAGGUUAAGUGUUAAUAGCACUUAGCUGUGACGUUACUUACAGAAGAAGCACCGGCUAACUCCGUGCCAGCAGCCGCGGUAAUACGGAGGGUGCGAGCGUUAAUCGGAAUUACUGGGCGUAAAGCGUACGCAGGCGGUUUGUUAAGCGAGAUGUGAAAGCCCCGGGCUCAACCUGGGAACUGCAUUUCGAACUGGCAAACUAGAGUGUGAUAGAGGGUGGUAGAAUUUCAGGUGUAGCGGUGAAAUGCGUAGAGAUCUGAAGGAAUACCGAUGGCGAAGGCAGCCACCUGGGUCAACACUGACGCUCAUGUACGAAAGC